CUUUGGCAAGAGUAAUUUGAGUUUGGAUUAUCGAACUUCAGAGUUUAACCCUAAGAGAUAAUUGAAGAGGAUCACUCAGAAUGCUACAUAAACUACAAGCAAUGACGGAAUCAGGGAGACGAGUUAAAUGACUAAUGCAGAGACUUGUUCUCACUACAUUGGCCAGGUCGGAUUUGAACUCCUGGGCUCAGCCUCCCGAAUAGCUGGGACUAUAAGCAUGUACCACCAUGCCCAGCUUACUGCAGCAGUUUUUAUAAACCAAACUUUCCAAAAUAGAAAGAUUGACCAAAGAAGCACUUUUAUACAAGGAAUAACUUACAUAUGGAGAAUCUCAACUCAGACCACCUCCAGUGAUGAAGCCAGAAUGUAAUAUAACUCAGAAGACUAAAGAAGUACAUUUUCCCAGAUGUAAAUUGUAACUAAAAAAUAGUGAACCAAACUCUAAUAUCCCAAUCUGAUAAUCUUUCAAAUAAAAAUAUGGGCUGUCGUUCAGG